rnacentral:rRNA from 1 species
UACGUAGGGGGCUAGCGUUGUCCGGAUUUAUUGGGCGUAAAGAGCGUGUAGGCGGCCAGAUAGGUCUGCUGUGAAAACUCGAGGCUCAACCUCGAGAUGUCGGCGGAAACCAUUUGGCUAGAGUCCGGAAGAGGAAAGUGGAAUUCCUGGUGUAGCGGUGGAAUGCGCAGAUAUCAGGAGGAACACCGAUGGCGAAGGCAGGUCUCUGGGCCACUACUGACGCUGAGAAGCGAAAGCAUGGGGAGCGAACAGG